GCAGUCGAGGGGUAUAGGUUUUCGGACCUAGAGACCGGCGCACGGGUGCGUAACGCGUAUGCAAUCUACCUUUUACAGAGGGAUAGCCCAGAGAAAUUUGGAUUAAUACCUCAUAGUAUUAUUGAGUGGCAUCAUUUAAUAAUUAAAGUCACAACGGUAAAAGAUGAGCAUGCGUCCCAUUAGCUUGUUGGUAAGGUAACGGCUUACCAAGGCAACGAUGGGUAGGGGUCCUGAGAAGGAGAUCCCCCACACUGGUACUGAGACACGGACCAGACUCCUACGGGAGGCAGCAGUGAGGAAUAUUGGUCAAUGGGCGCAAGCCUGAACCAGCCAUGCCGCGUGCAGGAUGAAGCAUCUAUGGUGUGUAAACUGCUUUUGUACGAGAAGAAACACUCCUUCGUGAAGGAGCUUGACGGUAUCGUAAGAAUAAGGACCGGCUAACUCCGUGCCAGCAGCCGCGGUAAUACGGAGGGUCCAAGCGUUAUCCGGAAUCAUUGGGUUUAAAGGGUCUGUAGGCGGUUUUGUAAGUCAGUGGUGAAAGCCCAUCGCUCAACGGUGGAACGGCCAUUGAUACUGCAAGACUUGAAUUAUUGGGAAGUAACUAGAAUAUGUAGUGUAGCGGUGAAAUGCUUAGAGAUUACAUGGAAUACCAAUUGCGAAGGCAGGUUACUACCAAUAUAUUGACGCUGAUGGACGAAAGCGUGGGGAGCGAACAGGAUUAGAUACCCUGGUAGUCCACGCCGUANACGAUGGAUACUAGCUGUUCGGAGCAAUCUGAGUGGCUAAGCGAAAGUGAUAAGUAUCCCACCUGGGGAGUACGUUCGCAAGAAUGAAACUCAAAGGAAUUGACGGGGG
rnacentral:rRNA from 1 species